rnacentral:rRNA from 1 species
AUUGAACGCUGGCGGCAGGCCUAACACAUGCAAGUCGAGCGAGCGGCGGACGGGUGAGUAAUGUAUGGGGACUGCCCGAUAGAGGGGGAUAACUACUGGAAACGGUGGCUAAUACCGCAUACUAUCGGAUAACCCAUAUGGGAUUAGCUAGUAGGUGGGGUAAAGGCUCACCUAGGCGACGAUCCCUAGCUGGUCUGAGAGGAUGAGCAGCCACACUGGAACGGGGACACGGCCCAGACUCCUACGGAGGCAGCAGUGGGGAAUUUUGGACAAUGGGUGCAACCCUGAUGCAGCCAUGCCGCGUGUAUGAAGAAGGCCUUCGGGUUGUAAAGUACUUUUAUUGGGGAGGCGGUACCUAAAGAAUAAGCACCGGCUAACUACGUGCCAGCAGCCGCGGUAAUUC